rnacentral:rRNA from 1 species
UGGGGGAUAUUGCACAAUGGGCGAAAGCCUGAUGCAGCGACGCCGCGUGGGGGAUGAAGGCCUUCGGGUUGUAAACUUCUUUUGCUCUGAACAAGGCAUGCUAAUGGGUGUGUUGAGUGUAGGGGUUGAUUAGCGCCGGCUAACUACGUGCCAGCAGCCGCGGUAAUACGUAGGGCGCGAGCGGUGUCCGGAAUUAUUGGGCGUAAAGGGCUUGUAGGUGGCUGGGUGCGUCUGUCGUGAAAGCUCAUGGCUUAACUGUGGGUUUGCGGUGGGUACGGGCUGGCUUGAGUGCAGUAGGGGAGGCUGGAAUUCCUGGUGUAGCGGUGGAAUGCGCAGAUAUCAGGAGGAAUACCGGUGGCGAAGGCGGGUCUCUGGGCUGUUACUGACACUGAGGAGCGAAAGCAUGGGGAGCGAACAGG